rnacentral:rRNA from 1 species
GAUGAACGCUGACAGAAUGCUUAACACAUGCAAGUCAACUUGAACUUCGGUUUGGGUGGCGGACGGGUGAGUAACGCGUAAAGAACUUGCCUCACAGAUAGGGACAACAUUUGGAAACGAAUGCUAAUACCUGAUAUUAUGAUUAUAUGGCAUCGUAUAAUUAUGAAAGCUAUAUGCGCUGUGAGAGAGCUUUGCGUCCCAUUAGCUAGUUGGAGAGGUAACGGCUCACCAAGGCGAUGAUGGGUAGCCGGCCUGAGAGGGUGAUCGGCCACAAGGGGACUGAGACACGGCCCUUACUCCUACGGGAGGCAGCAGUGGGGAAUAUUGGACAAUGGACCAAGAGUCUGAUCCAGCAAUUCUGUGUGCACAAUGAAGUUUUUCGGAAUGUAAAGUGCUUUCAGUUGGGAAGAAAAAAAUGACGGUACCAACAGAAGAAGUGACGGCUAAAUACGUG